rnacentral:rRNA from 1 species
UAGAGUUUGAUCCUGGCUCAGAAUCAACGCUGGCGGCGUGCCUAACACAUGCAAGUCGAACGCGGUUAGUAGCAAUACUAACUGAGUGGCGAACGGGUGAGUAACACGUGGGUGACCUACCUUCGAGUGGGGGAUAACGUCCCGAAAGGGACGCUAAUACCGCAUAACAUCCUGCCUUUGAACAGGCGGUGAUCAAAGCCGGGGACCGUAAGGCCCGGCGCUUGAUGAGGGGCCCGCGUCUGAUUAGCUAGUUGGUGAGGUAAUGGCCCACCAAGGCGACGAUCAGUAUCCGGCCUGAGAGGGCGGACGGACACACUGGGACUGAGACACGGCCCAGACUCCUACGGGAGGCAGCAGUGGGGAAUUGUUCACAAUGGGCGCAAGCCUGAUGACGCAACGCCGCGUGGAGGAUGAAGGUCUUCGGAUUGUAAACUCCUGUUGCCCGGGACGAAAAGCUCUGACCUAACACGUCGGAGUCUGACGGUACCGGGUGAGGAAGCCCCGGCUAACUCUGUGCCAGCAGCCCCGGUCA